rnacentral:misc_RNA from 1 species
AGUCGUAACAAGGUUUCCGUAGGUGAACCUGCGGAAGGAUCAUUAACACGUAUCCAACGUUAAACCCCCCUGUGAACCUUAAGCGUGCUCUUGCAGCCUCUAUAGGAACAGCAAUCCUGGUAAAUCAGUCCGAGAAAAGUUUUUGAUUCAGGACCUCUGUCUAAAAGGAUGCAAUCGAGCGCUGGAGCAAGUGGCUUGGUUUCCCCAAGCAGUUAGUAUUCUGAAAGUGUUGCUAAUUGUGCAAGGAUAACGCUUUACGAUUGCUGUAGGCCGAACACCGGCCGGCGACUCGGUCACCGGGCUCACGCCCCCUAGCUCACAAACCCAAGUUAUCUAUAACGGACGCCUCCACAGCAAGUGCGCCGGAGCUUACGUCCAAAACCGAACAACUGUUAACAAUGGAUAUCUUGGUUCUC